GUGCCAGCAGCCGCGGUAAUACGUAGGGCGCGAGCGUUAUCCGGAAUUAUUGGGCGUAAAGAGCUCGUAGGCGGUUUGUCGCGUCUGUCGUGAAAGUCCGGGGCUUAACCCCGGAUCUGCGGUGGGUACGGGCAGACUAGAGUGCAGUACGGAGACUGGAAUUCCUGGUGUAGCGGUGGAAUGCGCAGAUAUCAGGAGGAACACCGAUGGCGAGGCAGGUCUCUGGGCUGUACUGACGCUGAGAGCGAAAGCAUGGGGAGCGACAGRAUUAGAUACCCUGGUAGUCC
rnacentral:rRNA from 1 species